GCCAAGAUUAUUCAAGCCCACAAAGGGCAACAUGUUGUCCUUCUUCUCACAGCUGACAAGCGAGGGAGGCUGUGCUGCAGGAACAACCUGGUCAAUCUCUGCGCCGCGGAGCUCCGCGCCCUUCUGCUCAUUCUCCGGCGGCUCGGUGAAAUCCAGCGCUCUCUUCGCCUCUUUCUUCUGGAAGAGCUUCAGCGACAGGCGGUUCUUCCUGGACGGGCUGCCCCGCGGCGGCGCGCUGCCGUCGCUCGGGAGCACCCCCGGCAUCUCCGGGCGGGCGGCGGCGGGCGGCGUGGGGCGGCCACCGCUACAUGGUGCCUCCGCCCGGGGACCGCCGUCGGUUGCUAUGGAGACCGCCCGGGGCAGCCCGGCGCCGCUCGCUCCGCCACGGGAAACUUGGCGCGUUUUCCGCGCCGCCAGGACCCGCGCCCGCCGCCCUACUCGCGCCUAAGCGCCCACAGCCGCCUCGCUCAAACGCCGGAGCGGAAGCCGGGGACGGCGCCCGCCGGGAUCGAAGAGCCAUGGUGGCCGGCGGCGGACCGCCUCUCGACGGCUCGCGCGGGUCGAGAGAGACCUCGGCGCGGGCCCGAUCGGCGGCAUCGGCGCCGCGCGUCCGCCGCUCCCGUCAGGC
rnacentral:lncRNA from 1 species